rnacentral:rRNA from 1 species
UACGUAGGGUGCGAGCGUUGUCCGGAAUUAUUGGGCGUAAAGAGCUUGUAGGCGGUUUGUCGCGUCUGCCGUGAAAUUUCGGGGCUCAACCCCGAACUUGCGGCGGGUACGGGCAGACUAGAGUUUGGUAGGGGGAGACUGGAAUUCCUGGUGUAGCGGUGAAAUGCGCAGAUAUCAGGAGGAACACCGAUGGCGAAGGCAGGUCUCUGGGCCACUACUGACGCUGAGAAGCGAAAGCAUGGGGAGCGAACAGG